rnacentral:tRNA from 1 species
GGCUCUGUGGUGAAGUUCAUGGUGAGUUGCAAGCUCAUUGAUGUACGCUGAUUGCGUGCCGGAGUCU